rnacentral:lncRNA from 1 species
GGCAGCCCUCAAUGGACCAUCUGCUUCGCCCAGCUCGGUCACCUGGUAGGAUUCAAGGGCCAUCAGAUUCAACCUGGCAGCCACGCACUUGGAAACUUGCCAUCUAUUUGUCACUAUUGAUUUUCAUCUUGACUUCAGAGCAUAAUGCCUGUUUCUUGGAUCAAUAUGGGUGCAAGGAGACUGAAGAUAAAGGCUGCCUUAUUUCUGAGUGUAAGACAUCAGCAC